GGCAGCAGCUAAGAAUAUUCCGCAAUGGGGGAAACCCUGACGGAGCGACGCCGCGUGGAUGAUGAAGGCCGGAAGGUUGUAAAAUCCUUUUAUACGUGAGGAAUAAGUGGAGUGAGAGAAACGCUUCAUGGUGACUGUAGCGUAUGAAUAAGCAACGGCUAAUUACGUGCCAGCAGCCGCGGUAACACGUAAGUUGCGAGCGUUGUUCGGAAUUAUUGGGCGUAAAGGGCAUGUAGGCGGUAAUGCAAGUCUGGUGUGAAAGGCGGGAGCUCAACUCCCGGACUGCGUUGGAAACUGCAUUACUUGAGUGACUGAGGGGCAAUCAGAAUUCCUGGUGUAGGGGUGAAAUCUGUAGAUAUCAGGAAGAAUACCAAUGGCGAAGGCAGGUUGCCAGCAGAUGACUGACGCUGAGGUGCGAAGGUGCGGGGAGCAAACAGGAUUAGAUACCCUGGUAGUCCGCACAGUCAACUAUGUACACUGGAUAUCUGGUCAGAAGACUGGGUGUCGAAGCAAACGCGAUAAGUGUACCGCCUGGGGAGUAUGCCCGCAAGGGUGAAACUCAAAGGAAUUGACGG
rnacentral:rRNA from 1 species